rnacentral:rRNA from 1 species
UACAGAGGGGGCAAGCGUUGUUCGGAAUUACUGGGCGUAAAGGGCGCGUAGGCGGCCUUCUAAGUCGAACGUGAAAUCCCCGGGCUCAACCCGGGAACUGCGUCCGAUACUGGAAGGCUUGAAUCCGGGAGAGGGAUGUGGAAUUCCAGGUGUAGCGGUGAAAUGCGUAGAUAUCUGGAGGAACACCGGUGGCGAAGGCGGCAUCCUGGACCGAUAUUGACGCUGAUGCGCGAAAGCCAGGGGAGCAAACGGG